GAUGAAGAACGCAGCGAAAUGCGAUAAGUAAUGCGAAUUGCAGAAUUCAGUGAGUCAUCGAAUCUUUGAACGCACAUUGCGCCCUGUGGUAUUCCGCAGGGCAUGCCUGUUCGAGCGUCAUUUCAACCCUCAAGCCCCGCUUGGUGUUGGGCCCCGCCCGCUGUGGCCGGCCCUAAAGACAGUGGCGGCGCCGCCUGGCCCUCAGCGUAGUACAUCUCUCGCUCCAGGGUCCGGUGGCCGCCUGCCAGAACCCCCCAACUCUGUGGUUGACCUUGGAUCAGGUAGGGAUACCCGCUGAACUUAAGCAUAUCAAUAAGCGGAGGA
rnacentral:misc_RNA from 1 species